GUAUAUUUAACUUUAUAGGUACAAAAUGACCUGAUUCAACAUUCUAAACAGACUUUGGAGGUUUGUGUAAAAUGACAUAGACCUGAAAAAUACAAGGGAAAGCCGACUUGAGAAAGCACAGCAGUCCCCAACUCGAAAAAUAAAUCCAUCAAAUAUCAGGUCUACAAAAUGUGCACAGUUGGAAAAAUAAAUAUGACAAGGCGUGCACAUAUCCCUCCAAGGAGGGCCAGCAACAACCUGUUCAAAGUUUAUUCAAUAAUGAUCCUUCCGCAGGUUCACCUACGGAAA
rnacentral:misc_RNA from 1 species